rnacentral:rRNA from 1 species
UAAAGCGUGCGCAGGCGGUUAUGUAAGACAGAUGUGAAAUCCCCGGGCUCAACCUGGGAACUGCAUUAGUGACUGCAUAGCUGGAGUACGGCAGAGGGGGAUGGAAUUCCGCGUGUAGCAGUGAAAUGCGUAGAUAUGCGGAGGAACACCGAUGGCGAAGGCAAUCCCCUGGGCCUGUACUGACGCUCAUGCACGAAAGCGUGGGGAGCAAACAGGAUUAGAUACCCCAU